AACGCAACUUGCGCCCUCCGGUAUUCCGGAGGGCAUGCCUGUUUGAGUGUCAUGAAACCUCAAUCCCCUCGGGUUCUGCCCUUGCGGUGAUUGGACUUGGGCGUUGCCGGUUCUGCCGGCUCGCCUCAAAGGCGUUAGUGGGAUCAGUGCCCCCGAUCGGCGUAAUAAGUUUCGCUGAGGAGGGACGCGGCGUGCCCGCUCACAACCCUCUCCCUCGUGGAGAAACACUCUUUGAUCUGACCUCAAAUCAGGUAGGACUACCCGCUGAACUUAA
rnacentral:misc_RNA from 1 species